GCGUCCAACCGCUCAACCAUCUCUAUCUUAUUUUCUACACGCGUGCUCAGCUCUUAGCAAAUUCUGGGCGUUCUUCUCUCUGUACGCGGCUGCCAGCACACACCGCCGAGUCCGCGUGGCUGCUCAGCCAGUACUGCUCACGCCAGCACAACAGUGAUCAGCCAACACUUAUCCUCAACUCCAACUCGUUCAGCCGGUUCUUCAUCCGUCGUCCACAGGCUUCAGACGUAGCUCGCCAGCUUCGACCUCCGCCCUGCCCUUGACCCCACUCGCCCGUUCUUGUUCCCGACGCUCGAGCUCACCUCAGCUUCGCUGUGCCCCUGCGUUCGGCCUCUUCCCUCCACCAGCGGACGUCCUCGGUCUCGCUUUCCUCGCCGUGGCAAGGCCCCGGCCACGACGUCAUCCCCCUGUGAGCCUCAUUGCUGUGUCGCUUGCCUGCACCCUCUUUGUUCGAUGAAAUGGUCAAGUCGAUAACUAUUGCUGUUGCUCACAGCUAAGCUAGCUGUUGAAGUCGUGCCUCGCAUACGCCUAUUCGAUGAAAUGCCCAAACGUCACGUCCGCUCCUUGUCCCAACACCCUGUCACAAUUCCGUGCGUUGCCGGUGAGACAUCGAUUUUCUUCUAUUCAAUUAGUUCUUUGCUUGGUGUCAAUGAUUAACUGUGGUUUAUGUUUGUGUACUAGUGUGUGUUUCGGAAGAGAGGAAUCCCAUAUAUGUGAGGACAGGCAAUCCGUGCAAUAGUUGUUUGAUGUUUGGUGUUAUGCGCAAAUCAGAAAUCGUCAUCAUUAUCCCAAAUAUCGAUUUGGUUUGUGAUAUGGUGAGCCCUCUCGCUACCUUGGCUAGUUAAUUUGAUCGAUGAAUUGAUUACAGUUGCCAACGAUGAUUCUUCUUGUUUUUAGCGCAAGCAUAUUGUGUGUUAUCUUUUAGACCCAUUGUUGCACUUAUAUGCGAUGUUACAUGGUGAUUGAGUUAAUUGUUCUUGUGCUCACAAACAAAAAUUUCCUAUGUGUACAGUUUUAAUUGUGCAACUAAUCUAGUAAAGCAAACUACGUUUUCUGUAAAGAUGUUUUAUAUAAAAUUAGUAGGUAACCUCCCCAUCUUUCUUGUGUUAAAUUUUCAUGACCAUAGGUUUAAUAGUUUAAGAGUUAUGAUUUUCCCAAGUCCAGUUUCAGAAUCUGUCCAGAUUCUGUACUGAUUUCGAAAAUUGCUUUGUUUGACUAAAUUAAACUUAGAAUCAGACCUUAGUAAUUACAGAAGAAUUGUAGUACUUUUCUUAAGUUUUCCAACAAAUUUUGGAAUACCCUUUUUGGUGGUCUAGAGACCAAGUUACAGCUAUUUGAACUAUAGAGUCUGAAUCUGUCCAAAUCUGGACAGCAAUGCUUGUUUGUAUGAACUGACUUUGAUACACAUUGAAUCACCCUGAGAUGUUUAUAAAUGAAUUGUCGACAAUUCUAUCAGAUUUCUAAAAAGUCUAGGAUCACCUGAUUUGGAUUUUUAAAACUUCAGUUAUGAAUUUUUGAAGUAAGUGGUCGAAUUCUGUCCAAAUCUGGACAGAAUUAAAGUUUAGCACUGUUUGACCUUUUAAACUGUCGAAUCAGGUUAUGAUGAUAAUAUAAGAGUUAUAGAGGACUUUCUAAGCUUUCCAGAAAGUCCUAGUUUACUAUUUUUGGAUGCAUAUUUUGUGAGUUAUGAAUAAAACAAUUAAUCGCUGUGCUGCUGUCUAAAAAUUCUGCAAGUAUUAAAUUGUUGGCUUGAAGUUACUAUUGUUUGGCUAAGUAAGUUUAGCUGAUUCUUAAUUGGUGAAGUGAUGCUUUGUUUUAGUAAUUAUCAUGUUCUAUGGUUGUUGAUUGAGUAAAUAUGAUAAAUGGAGAUUGGUCGCUUAAGUUAAUCAUCUUGAAUAAAUGUUCCUCACUAUUCUUAUUAGUUGGAAGUAAAUAGCAUCAAUACGUUUAUUCUAGUUGUAAUCCGAGAGCUAUAUAGUGGGAAGUGCAUUUAGGCGCUUAAAGUCUUUUGCUUCUAGGUUAUAAUCAAAUGAGAUUAUGUAAUAUUUGAUGAUGCUCCACUUGCUAGGACAAAUAGUGUGAUGUGUUAUUUAGCUCGUGCGCUAUGCUAGUUAAUCCGAUGAAAUGGUUUAAAAAGUUAGUUAAAGUAUUUCUAUUCAAAUUCGAAGCCGUAGAUGUCUAAGGCUAAUAAGUUUAAAUUAUGGUAAUCGUUUGGUGUAUGUUCUAGUUAAAGAAGAUCCAUACAUGGUUCACGAUUGUUUGGUGUUUAAGUUAGGUUCGAUUGAUUAGAAGAUCAUGCUUGUUGUGUUAGAGUUAAGGUAUCUAGUGAUUAUUUAUGCUUGCUUAUAAUGUUUUGCUAGAGAAUGUUUAAUCCUAUACCAUAUAACUUCAUAUAAUAUUGUACUAGUUCUUAUGUUCAUACAUGUGCAACCUACAUCCAAAUAGGUACACUAGCUGAAAAAUCGUGCGAAGCGAAGGGUGUGGAUCAAAACAACCCACAAGACGAUGUCGGCCGAUGAGCCCGAAGAUGGAUGGACUAAGCAGAUGUCAGAACAAAAGUUGAUCGUCAACUGGCCUUCAUUUAACAACACUAACGUAGUGUUAUCCCAGGUAAGCCCCGGUGCAUUUGCCACCUCCUUGUUGUUUUUAAAACUUUUAUCACUUAUGUGACAGAAUCUCCCAAGUAAUUAGGCCCACCUACAGUUGUCCUUGUCCAACAGACAUCAGACAACCCUGUAGAUGUUCCUGAAUCACUCGACAAGUUCGGUAUCUUCUUUCUUACCUUUCCAGGAACGUUUUACCCGUCUUGCAGACAUUACAGAACAUCGGAGAUAUAGAAAUGCGGAAGCGAUUACAUAAACUUACAUUUAUUUAGAAAGUAAGAUCAAGUUACUUAUUACAGAUAUGAAACGAGUGCUGAAUAGUAUUAUUACAAUACCAAGGGAGGCAAAAACUCCUCCCGAUAGUUUUUAUAAAGUCCUAAUGGAGGAUCCUUUCCUCCCGCACUUCAUUCCUUGCGUUCUUCCUUUGGUUAUGACUCAACCUGAUAAUUCUCUGAUCAGUGUUGAGAGUUGCUUUGUGUCUGGCUAACCAAUUCAUGCCCAAAAUAACAUCUAUAUCUUGGCCUUUCAGAACGAUCAUAUUAGUAGGAAAGUCCCGUCCGGCCAAAGUUACGGGCACUUGAUAGGCCACUUCUCUAGUAAAUAUUUGUCCCCCUGGUGAGUGAAUUUUAAACCCCUCUUUUGAUUCAUGGCAUGAGAUGCAAUGUUGCUCCACAAAUUUCUUGCUGAUGAAUGUAUGCGAAGCACCAGAAUCAAAGAGAAUAACUGCGGGAUGAUUGGCCACAAGAAACGUACCCAUCAUUACCGGCUCACCGUCCGGCGUAGUGGCCACUUGCGUAUAAUAUAUGUGUCCCGUCUUCUUAGUAUUUUUGCCCACAGUAUUUCCCUUGGCUUGAGAUGAAUUUCCAGAUCCUUGCUAAUUAUUUGACUGGUUCUGCUUUGGAUAAGGGCAAUCCUUGAUAAAAUGCCCAGACUUCCACAAUUGAAACAUCCAGUUGAUGAGCUGGGCAAAGCAGAGAAUCGAGUGCCUGGGGCACCCGGCUGACUUGAUGCAGUAGGGGCAUUAUUGGGACGAAUAAAGAUUGGCCGCUUAAAAGGGAAGGAGGGUGGACGAGAGAAAGAACAAUUCUGGUUGGAGGCCGGAUGACAACCCGUUGCUUCUUCACCGGGCCCUGACUAGGCCUGUCACCUCCAAAACCCUUGGAUUUUCCAGCACCUGCAUACUUUGCUUCUACUGCUAGUGCUGUACUGACAGCUCUUCCAUAAGUAAGAUCUAUGCAGGUUGCCAUCUUUCUUUGCAGUCGGUCAUUUAACCCUCUCAUAAAGCAAUUCUUCUUCUUCUUCAAAUCAAUGUUCACUUGAUCGAUUGCAUAUUGUGACAAAUGAUUGAAUUUAUUGAGAUACUGAUUAACAGUAUCCCCUCCUUGUUUCAGCUUCAUAAAUUCUUCUUGCUUCAUGUGAAGAACACCUUCUGGUAUGUAAUGUUCGCGGAAGGCCACCUUGAAUUCUUCCCAAGUUAUCUGAUGAUUGGCCGGUUGAACGGCCACAAAAUUACCCCACCAAGUGUUGGCAGGUCCGCGCAGUUGCUGGGCUGCGAAUAAAGGCUUCUGGGUUUCUGAACAUCGCAGCAGUCCGAACUUUUGCUCGAUCACACGAAGCCAUUCAUCUGCUUCUAACGGGUCUUCGGCUUUGACAAACAGCGGGAGUCGCGUCUCUGAGAAGUCCAUGUAAGAGGUUUCACGGGGGCCCUGUUGAUAACCCCGCCCGCCUUGUUGUGGAAACUGUUGACUCGCCAUCUCUCUCAGAAAACGGGUAUUAUCCGCGGUUGCAUUUACCAAGGCGGCAAUCGCCUCGGCCAGUGUGGGAGGAAUAUGAGGUGGAUUUGGGGUAGACUCCCUCCCACUGGAAGUUCCAGCUGUAUCCUGUGAUCGGGUCUUGGACGACAUCUGUGGCAACAACAUUGGGAAACAAUAUGAUAUGCCAAAGAAAAACCAUCCAUUUUACAUUACCAAAAGUAUUGUACAGACUCGGAUUUUUACAACAGGAUACAUUACCUAUUAUACAAAUACACUACCUAUUAUACAAUAGUACAACCUGUUAUACAAUACACUACUUCUAUUUCAACUACUACACCACUAUUCCUGCUUUCCGUUGCUUUUGGCAGCCUCGUCGUCGGGUGUGGGAGACCAUUCGUCGACCAACCUCAUAGAUGGAGGUGGCUGAAAAAGGUCUAACUCACCACCAAGCGUGUGUCCCGCAACAUGCGAGGGUCCGGCUUCCGACUCAACAC
rnacentral:lncRNA from 1 species